GGUUGGCUAAUCCUGGUCGGACAUCAGGAGGUUAGUGCAAUGGCAUAAGCCAGCUUGACUGCGAGCGUGACGGCGCGAGCAGGUGCGAAAGCAGGUCAUAGUGAUCCGGUGGUUCUGAAUGGAAGGGCCAUCGCUCAACGGAUAAAAGGUACUCCGGGGAUAACAGGCUGAUACCGCCCAAGAGUUCAUAUCGACGGCGGUGUUUGGCACCUCGAUGUCGGCUCAUCACAUCCUGGGGCUGAAGUAGGUCCCAAGGGUAUGGCUGUUCGCCAUUUAAAGUGGUACGCGAGCUGGGUUUAGAACGUCGUGAGACAGUUCGGUCCCUAUCUGCCGUGGGCGCUGGAGAACUGAGGGGGGCUGCUCCUAGUACGAGAGGACCGGAGUGGACGCAUCACUGGUGUUCGGGUUGUCAUGCCAAUGGCACUGCCCGGUAGCUAAAUGCGGAAGAGAUAAGUGCUGAAAGCAUCUAAGCACGAAACUUGCC
rnacentral:rRNA from 1 species